AGACAAUAUCGAGGAGAAGGCAAUUGUACAGUGGAGGCAAGAACUAUUUAACACAUAUUUGGAACAUAUUAAAGAGCUCUCUGCGGCAAACUUCAAGUUCCAUCGCUUACCGCAAGUUUACCACGGUCAGACAGCUCCUCUGGAAAUGCGGACAGCAAGAUGGAUUCGCUCAGGUCAAGCAGUGACAUAAGCAGCCAAAGGCACUGCAGG